rnacentral:tRNA from 1 species
AUCUCUUGAGUAUGAGAAAGUACAGUUGCCUUCCAAGCAGAAAGAUUAAGAAAAACUUAAAAGAGAU